CGCUAUCCUGCACGGAAAAAGGAAAACCAUUGGUAUUCCUUCAACAUUGAACGUUUGCACAAAUAUAAUUUGAGUUGGCAUGUCAGUUUUAAAUAGCAAACAGUACUGAACCUAGUAAAUUAAAAGCUAGAAAACAUUUUUUGAUACGACAAGUAGAAGUACAAACACAUGCAAUCUUAGCAAAACACAUCAAACACAAUUCGAGCAAAAAGCGCGAUUUUCACUGACAUAACUUUGCUCAAUGCUUUAGGUUUUCAAAUAUUUAGAAUUUUAGAGGCGCUAUAACAUUUUGGUGCGCGUUGCUGAAUCGCGUCCGAUCCGUGGUGUGACAGAGCCACAAAGAUGUCAUUUAACAUGUUGAACACAUUUUAAUUGUUUUCUAGAAAGAUGUCAGGACUCACUGAAGUGUCAAGUAAUAAACAUUUUGGUGGUUACCAAAAGGUGUUUAAUCAUAAAAGGUAGAGCACUCGUGGCCAUAAAUAUAACUCAAUAUUGCUUAUGUUGGAUUUAUCAAAUUAUUUGUCAGAUUCGCAGUAUUCUCAUUCCAAAUCUGACAUUACUAAUUAAUACAUGUACUACCCAAAUCCGACAUUACUAAUACAGUACUAUUAAUGGGGGAGCCGGACCAUUAUCCCCCCCCCACCCCCCCCCCCCCCAGCUCCUCGUUGUCUGUUAUUUUAUUGUGUGGAAGGAAACACCAGGUUUACUUAUUUGGCAAAGCUUUGGAUCCAAUUAAGUCAUAAGAUCAGCACUUAGGAUCAACAUUUGCGCAAAACUAUAUGAUUGUACAUUAUAUUAUGAAACAAAAUCUUGAAUGCAGAAGAUCAAUGCCGAAAUUUAAUAUUUUAGAUCAUACCUUUUUUCUCAUGCAAACUGUUCAUGCUGACCAUGAAAAAGAUUUAGUCAGUAUUAGGUGAAGUCUGGGGCAAUUAUGAAUGAUUAUAUUGGAGAUUUCUUCAUUUAUAUAGCAAGGAAUUGGAUUGCAAUAUGAACUUUGCUGUCUAUAUACCACCCCAAGCAAGCUCAGCAAAAGUCCCUGUUUUAUAUUGGUUAUCAGGUACGUUGUAC